GAUGAACGCUAGCGAUAGGCUUAACACAUGCAAGUCGAGGGGCAGCAUGGUCUUAGCUUGCUAAGACUGAUGGCGACCGGCGCACGGGUGCGUAACGCGUAUGCAACUUGCCUCACAGAGGGGGAUAACCCGUCGAAAGACGGACUAAUACCGCGUACACUUGGGAUAGGGCAUCCUGACCCAAGGAAAUGAAAUUCGCUGUGAGAUAGGCAUGCGUCCCAUUAGCUAGUUGGUGAGGUAACGGCUCACCAAGGCGACGAUGGGUAGGGGAACUGAGAGGUUGAAACCCAACACUGGUACUGGGACACGGACCAGACACCUACGGGAGGCAGCAGUGAGGAAUAUUGGUCAAUGAGCGAGAGCCUGAACCAGCCAAGUCGCGUGAAGGAUGACUGUCUUAUGGAUUGUAAACUUCUUUUAGACGGGAAUAACAAGAGUCACGUGUGGCUCCCUGCAUGUACCGUAUGAAUAAGCAUCGGCUAACUCCGUG
rnacentral:rRNA from 1 species